rnacentral:rRNA from 1 species
UACGUAGGGAGCUAGCGUUGUCCGGAAUCAUUGGGCGUAAAGCGCGCGUAGGCGGCCCGGUAAGUCCGCUGUGAAAGUCAAAGGCUCAACCUUUGAAUGUCAGCGGAUACUGCCGGGCUAGAGUCCGGAAGAGGCGAGUGGAACUCCUGGUGUAGCGGUGAAAUGCGCAGAUAUCAGGAAGAACACCCGUGGCGAAGGCGGCUCUCUGGGACGGUACUGACGCUGAGACGCGAAAGCGUGGGGAGCAAACAGG